GCUAGAGGAGAGUAAGCGGCUCUUUUGGGAGCCAGUGGCCCGCUGAUGGCUGACCCUGUUGGCCGGGGUGCCCAUCAGCUAAACGCUAAAAUUGGCUGACUAAGCUUGUAGACGUUUAGAGGCCGAAUUUUUCGGACGCGGGUUCAAUUCCCGCCAUCUCCACCU
rnacentral:tmRNA from 1 species